UGGGGAAUAUUGGACAAUUGGCGAAAGCCUGAUCCAGCCAUGCCGCGUGUGUGAAGAAGGUCUUCGGAUUGUAAAGCACUUUAAGUUGGGAGGAAGGGCAGUAAGCGAAUACCUUGCUGUUUUGACGUUACCGACAGAAUAAGCACCGGCUAACUCUGUGCCAGCAGCCGCGGUAAUACAGAGGGUGCAAGCGUUAAUCGGAAUUACUGGGCGUAAAGCGCGCGUAGGUGGUUCGUUAAGUUGAAUGUGAAAGCCCCGGGCUCAACCUGGGAACUGCAUACAAAACUGGCGAGCUAGAGUAGGGCAGAGGGUGGUGGAAUUUCCUGUGUAGCGGUGAAAUGCGUAGAUAUAGGAAGGAACACCAGUGGCGAAGGCGACCACCUGGGCUCAUACUGGCACUGAGGUGCGAAAGCGUGGGGAGCAAACAGG
rnacentral:rRNA from 1 species